rnacentral:rRNA from 1 species
AUUGAACGCUGGCGGCAUGCCUUACACAUGCAAGUCGAACGGCAGCACGGGAGCAAUCCUGGUGGCGAGUGGCGAACGGGUGAGUAAUAUAUCGGAACGUGCCCAGUCGUGGGGGAUAACGCAGCGAAAGCUGUGCUAAUACCGCAUACGAUCUAAGGAUGGAAGCGGGGGAUCGCAAGACCUCGCGCGAUUGGAGCGGCCGAUAUCAGAUUAGCUAGUUGGUGGGGUAAAGGCCCACCAAGGCGACGAUCUGUAGCUGGUCUGAGAGGACGACCAGCCACACUGGAACUGAGACACGGGCCAGACUCCUACGGGAGGCAGCAGUGGGGAAUUUUGGACAAUGGGCGCAAGCCUGAUCCAGCAAUGCCGCGUGCAGGAUGAAGGCCUUCGGGUUGUAAACUGCUUUUGUACGGAACGAAACGGCCCUUUCUAAUACAGGGGGCUAAUGACGGUACCGUAAGAAUAAGCACCGGCUAACUACGUGCCAGCCGCCGCGGUAAUAC